rnacentral:rRNA from 1 species
AUUGCCUCAGUAGCGGCGAGUGAGCGGCAAAAGCUCCAUUUUGAAAGCUCUUCGGAGCGUUGUAGAUUGGUGGGAAGCUAACGGCUGGUGGGAGACCAAGUCCUCUGGAACGAGGCGCCAUAGAGGGUGAGAGCCCCGUGUGUCUCCUUUACCGACCUUUCAGCCCCCUCCGCGGAGUCGAGUUGUUUGGGAAUGCAGCUCUAAGUGGGUGGUAAAUUCCAUCUAAGGCUAAAUAUUGGCGAGAGACCGAUAGCGAACAAGUACAGUGAUGGAAAGAUGAAAAGCACUUUGAAAAGAGAGUGAAACAGUACGUGAAAUUGUUGAAAGGGAAGGGUAUUUGGCCCGACAUGGGUCCUAUGCACCGUUGCCUCUCGUGGGCGGCGCUCUGCUUGGGCCUGGGCCAGCGUCAGUUUGGAGGGGGCGAGAAGGGUUUUGGGGAGUUGCCUAGCAAUUCCCCUUUGCUAGAUUGCCCCACACCGGACUGAGGACCGCCAUCUGUAGGAUGCUGGCACAACGGCCAAAUACCGCCCGUCUUGA